rfam:Triticum urartu cultivar G1812 contig388077, whole genome shotgun sequence.
CACGUACUCCCUCCGUCCGGAAAUACUUGUCGGAGGAAUGCAUAAAAAUGGAUGUAUCUAGAACUAAUAUACAUCUAAAUACAUUCAUUUCUCCGACAAGUAUUUCCGAACGGAAGGAGUACAUU